rnacentral:ncRNA from 12 species
GGUUGGACAAACUAAAGUUUGAUUUCAAGAAAUUUGUUUCCAGGGUGGGAGACU